CCUACCAACUCCCUCUCAGAACCUCCAGGUUGCCAAAAAAUAUGCAGUACUGAAACGGCAGCUGAAGGAAAGGCAGGAACCAUGUGCUCUAAGACAGGGACCCUUGAGCUUCUCCCCCAGCAUUUGUGAAGCCUUUUGCAGCUGCUCCGCAACCACAUCCUGUCCUUAUUGAAGGCCGGGAGGAGCCUCGGAGACGAUUGUGCUGGCCAGGGUGGAAGGCAGAAAAGAGAUGUCAGAGUUGCUCCAGGAUAACAGUGUCG
ensembl:lincRNA